rnacentral:rRNA from 1 species
AUUGAACGCUGGCGGCGUGCUUAACACAUGCAAGUCGUGCGGUAACAGGCGUAGCAAUACGUGCUGACGAGCGGCGAACGGGUGCGUAAUACAUGGGAAUCUGCCCUUUAGUGGGGAAUAACCCGGCGAAAGCCGGGCUAAUGCCGCAUAAGAUCUUCGGAUGAAAGCGGGGGAUCGUAAGACCUCGCGCUGAUGGAUGAGCCCAUGUCGGAUUAGCAGUUGGUGAGGUAACGGCUCACCAAGGCGACGAUCCGUAGCUGGUCUGAGAGGACGGCCAGCCACACUGGGACUGAGACACGGCCCAGACUCCUACGGGAGGCAGCAGUGGGGAAUAUUGGACAAUGGGGGAAACCCUGAUCCAGCGACGCCGCGUGUGUGAAGAAGGCCUGC